CUGCAAAGACACAGAAGCAAAUGCUCAGUCCUCCUUUCUCCUCUCCCCCUUUCCCUCCUAUCCCUCUCCUUUCAGCCUUUUAUCUCCCCACCUUGCUUCCCUCCUUCUCCCUCUGCCAUGCCUCCUCCACCCCGCCCCUUCAGAGGGAGGCCUCUUUGAUGGUGGUGGCAGUGGGCGGCUGUAGGGAUCCAGGGACUGACCUCAGGUCUGGGGAGAGUAGCUGUUCUGGGGAGAGGGGGAGAAUCAGUCUCAAGCAGAAGUCUGUUCUCCCCUGGGCAGCCUCCUGCAGAGCUCCUCUAGGUCUGAGGAGCCUGUGACAGACCAAGUGCCUGUGCCCUUCCAGAUGAGCCAGGAGAGACAGCAGAGGUGCUCCCUUGGGCGCAACUGGGGGCAGAUGCAGGGAAUGGAUGGACGUUGGGCUACCCUCUUGCUUCCCUUUACCCAUCAACAACCAAGAAGCACACACUGAGCCACUUCCUGAAUACCUACUGUGUGCCAGGGUGGAGAUUCUUUGGGGGAAUCGGACUCUGCCUUGUCCUCAAGGAGCUGGUAUGGAAGAAGUAAGGACCAUCCAGGGUGGCAUCAGAGGCACAGAGCCCAGGCUGAUGGUGUCAACCUUGGUUAGAGCUGGGCAAAGAGGAAGCUGCUCAGGAUUGGAAGGUGGGAGAGAAGCAUCAGCCAUCACUCUCUGAGGUCGCCACAGUCAGAUGGAGUGACAGAUGAAGAGAUGCCUGGUGGGUCCCAGCUUGUCCUCGUUCUUCUCCCUUUGCCUCCAGCUCUUCUCCCUGGCUACCUACCCUGUUGGCCAAUGGCGGCUCAUGCUCAUCACCAGGCAUGUGGCUGCAGACACACGGAGGUGGGAGCCAUGCAGAGGCACCGGCUCUUCACAACCCUCUCUGCCAGCACCCGUUUCAGGGUCCUCCUUUGAUGUUGGGUGUGCUUGGCUUCUCCAAGUGACAGGUUAGUGCCUCCCCUGGGCCUCCAUCUGAUCUUCUGGACCUUUGCUUCCGCAGCUUCCCUCAAUUAUGCAAAUUCUAGGUCUGAUUCCUAGAAUAAAUACUGGAUCUCAAAGCACUCACAGGAUUCUGCUCCCCUGGCUGAACUCUGGUGGAAAUGAUGUCAUGUGACUUCGAAACUAGGCCUUAAGAGUCCUUGCAGUUUUCCCUGUCCUGAGGCCACAUCAUGCUGUGAAAAAACCCAACUUAGCAGAGGCUGAGAAGUUACACGGAGGAGAAUGGAAGAGCCCUGGUCAAUACACACAACUGUGAAAAAAAUAACUCACUGUAGACAUUUUUUUUAGGCUGAGAAAAUAUUUUUCUAUUAAUUGGUUGAUCUGUCAUUAUAUUCCAUUGCAUAGUCAGUGAUAAUAUACUAAGUAAAGUUUAGUGUAACCAUAUUAGAAUAAUCUAAAUUUGAAGAUAUUUAUUAGCUUUAUUAACUUAUACAAAAUAAAAUUCACUGCUUUUUUAUCGUGGUAAAAUAUAGACAACAUACAAUUAACCAUUUCAGCUACUUUUAGGUGUGCAGGUCAGUGGCAUUAGGUACAGUCACAUUGUUGUAUAAACAUCAUCACUAUCCACCUCCAGAACUUUUUCAUCAUUCCAGACAGAAACUCUGUAGCCAUUACACAACAAUUCCCCAUUCCCCCACCCCUUAGUGUAGGUUUUUUUUUCCCCAUUUUUUUUUGAGAAAGGGUCUCACUCUCUCACCUAGGCUGGAGUGCAGUGGCAGGAUCAUGCUCACUGUAACCUCCAACUCCUGGGUUCAAGUGAUCCUCCCACCUCAGCCUCCUGAGUAGCUAGGACUACAGACGUGUGCCACCAAGCCUAGCUUUUUAUUUUAUUUUUUGUAGAGAUGGGAAGGAGGCUGGCUAUGUUGCCCAGGUGCCCUCAGUGUAGUUUUAGGCCACUAAAUUUUGGGGUACGUUGUUACACAGCCGUAGAUAACUGAACAUUCAUACUUGGUGAGGUCAUAUGCUCUAAUUUUCUAGUUUAAAAAAUAGUUUCUCAGGCAAAACUAUGGAGAUGGUAAAAAGAUUUGUGUUUGC
rnacentral:lncRNA from 1 species